GACGAACGCUGGCGGCGUGCUUAACACAUGCAAGUCGAACGGUAAGGCCCUUCGGGGUACACGAGUGGCGAACGGGUGAGUAACACGUGGGUGAUCUGCCCUGCACUUCGGGAUAAGCCUGGGAAACUGGGUCUAAUACCGGAUAGGACCACGGCCUGCAUGGGUGGUGGUGGAAAGCUUUUGCGGUGUGGGAUGGGACCGCGGCCUAUCAGCUUGUUGGUGGGGUGAGGGCCUACCAAGGCGACGACGGGUAGGCGGCCUGAGAGGGUGACCGGCCACACUGGGACUGAGAUACGGCCCAGACUCCUACGGGAGGCAGCAGUGGGGAAUAUUGCACAAUGGCGCAAGCCUGAUGCAGCGACGCCGCGUGAGGGAUGACGGCCUUCGGGUUGUAAACCUCUUUCAGCACCGACGAAGCGCAAGUGACGGUAGGUGCAGAAGAAGGACCGGCCAACUACGUGCCAGCCGCCGCGGUAAAAC
rnacentral:rRNA from 1 species